UACAGAGGGUGCAAGCGUUAAUCGGAAUUACUGGGCGUAAAGCGUGCGUAGACGGUUAUGUAAGUCGGGUGUGAAAGCCCCGGGCUCAACCUGGGAAUUGCAUUCGAGACUGUGUAGCUAGGGUACGGAAGAGGGAAGCGGAAUUUCAGGUGUAGCGGUGAAAUGCGUAGAUAUCUGAAGGAACACCAGUGGCGAAAGCGGCUCCUGGUCCAGUACCGACGUCAGGCACGAAAGCGUGGGGAGCAAACAGG
rnacentral:rRNA from 1 species